rnacentral:rRNA from 2 species
ACGGAAGGCAGCAGUGGGGGAUAUUGGACAAUGGGGGAAACCCUGAUCCAGCGACGCCGCGUGAGUGAAGAAGUAUUUCGGUAUGUAAAGCUCUAUCAGCAGGGAAGAAAAAAUCAAAAUUGACUGUACCUGACUAAGAAGCUCCGGCUAACUACGUGCCAGCAGCCGCGGUAAUACGUAGGGAGCAAGCGUUAUCCGGAUUUACUGGGUGUAAAGGGAGCGUAGGCGGUGCGGCAAGUCAGAUGUGAAAACCCGGGGCUCAACCCCGGGACUGCAUUUGAAACUGUCGAACUAGAGUAUCGGAGAGGUAAGUGGAAUUCCUAGUGUAGCGGUGAAAUGCGUAGAUAUUAGGAAGAACACCGGUGGCGAAGGCGGCUUACUGGACGAUAACUGACGCUGAGGCUCGAAAGCGUGGGGAGCAAACAGGAUUAGAUACCCUGGUA